rnacentral:ribozyme from 13 species
UUUUUUUUUUUUUUUUUUUCUUUUUUUUUUUUUUUUUUUUUUUACUUCUACGCAUGUAUAUACUGCAGAAAAUAGAAAAUUGAAUGAUUGAAUGGCUGGGUUU